AUCGCUUUGGCCGCCUGAGCAUCUUGGAGAACUCAGCUUAGGCGUCACCUCCAGCCUUCCUCUGGGCUCUCACAGCGCCUUGUGCAUCUCUCCCUUGCUCCAAACACCGUAUCGUGUUGUUGCAGCAUGAGCUGCCCCUCGGGAAGCCUGGGACCAGCUGAACGCCGGUGCCUCUGAAGGGGACGUAGAGCCAGACAGGUGGGGUGAGGGAACUUAGGUGUGAGACCCAAGAGGAGCUCUGGGCAGUGUGUCAGAUGCAGUUCCUCAGUCAGCCGGGGUUCGCAGUCCUGAGCCCUCCCGCUUUGAGCUUACUCCGCCGGCAGCUCACAAUGUUUUCGUGGUGGCUCCUCCAAGUGAGAGUCGAUGUCCAGAUUCCUAGGCUCAUGGAGAGGAAAUCUGUACUUCCUGCUUCCUGGAAGACACUGUGAGCCCAGUCCCCUCUAGGAUCCUUGGUGGUGUAGACGAGGGUGUAGCCAGAUGGACUUGGAGUGGAUUGCCUGAGUGGAGCCCCGGGGAUUUGAGAUGCAGGAGCCAGGGAGAAGAGAGGGUGAGACCCACUUGGGCCAGCCCCACAUUUGGCCAGUCCUCUUCCCUGGCUUGGAGAAGGUGCAGGGUGGGGCAGGUCAUACAGAACCCUUUGGGGUCACUGCUUCUUUUCUAGUUGCCUCAGGCAAGGACUGGCCAAGUCUUUUUUUUUUUUUUUUUUUUUUUUUUUUUUUUUUUUUUUUUUUUUGAGACAGAGUCUCACUCUGUCACCCAGGCUAGAAUACAGUGGCACAAUCUCAGCUCACUGCAACCUCUGCCUCCCAGGUUCAAGUGAUUCUUCUGCCUCAGCCUCCUGAGUAGUUGGGACUACAGGCGCCCGCCACCACACCCGGCUAAUUUUUGUAUUUUUAGUAGAGAAGGGGUUUCACCAUAUUGGCCAGGCUGGUCUCAAACUCCUGACCUUGUGAUCCGGCCGUCUCAGCCUCCCAAAGUGCUGGGAUGACAAGCGUGAGCCACCGCGCCUGGCCCAAGUCUUUCUUUAUAGGCUCCUACCCUACCAAGCCAUCCAGUUGCAUUUUCCCUCCCUGUCUUGAGUUCUUCUUUCCUAAGCUUCUGUUGUAGACCUGGCCUGCUGGGGUGCUCUGCUCCCCUGGGAACCCUCUGGCUGGAGAGGCUGCUGAGCCACAGAACCAGAGAAGAGGAGAGUAAUGCCAGAGGAUCCCUAAGCACAGUUGUACAGGAAGCAUGAUGCUGGCAUCUGCUCAGCUUCUAGGGAGGCCUCAGGAAACUUACAAUCAUGGCGGAAGGGAUGCAGCAGUUCACAUGGCUGGAGCAGGAGCGAGACAGAGAGUGGAGAGGUGCUGCACACUUUUAAAUGACCAGUUCUCGUGAGAACUCACUGGCAUGAGAACAGCAUCAAGAGGAUGGUGCUAAACCAUUCAUGAGAAAUCCAUCCCCAUGAUCCAAUCACCUCCCACCAGGGCCCACCUCCAACACUGGGGAUUGCAAUUUGACAUGAGAUUUGGGCGGGGACACAUCCCAAACCAUAUCACCCUCAGUACCUGUUGCUGGCUGACAGUUGGUCAGUGUCUAGGGGAGAACUAUUCUCAGCUUCAGUUCCACGAUAGCGAAUACCAUCUUGGCAAAAAUCCCCUGGACAAGUCAGAGACCUCACUAAGUCUCCAGCAUCUAGCCUGAUGCCUGACACAUACUGGCCCUCAAUAAACGGCUGUUCAACUGUGGGCACAGGAAUGGUGAGGAGGCUGUGGGCACAGAGGACGCUGGCCCUUCUUUGGAAGCAGAUGAAGGUCUGGGUGUUGAUGAGGGGUUCCUCGAAAGUCCCAUGCUGCUCACAACACCCAACACUCCUACAGACUGUGACCAUGUUCUGUUGACAACUGAGCCUGCACAGGAUCUUUAUGCAGUAGGGAACCGGCCCGGAUUCUCCACAGGGAGAAUCUCCCAGAUGUUUCCCCGCUUUCUGCCCCAAAGUCAAGAUCAAAAGCAGUUGGCAGCUGCAGACAUCAGCAGAAGUCAGUGGAACACAGUGUGGAACCAUGUCGCUCUGGAGGAGGAAGUCUCACUCUUGACAGAGACUAGAACUGGGCCUUAGAAGCUUGAACCAACCUCUGUCCCUGCGAGAGCAGCACACUUUCGUGCUCCUCAGCCCUUGCGUCUUCUUUGCCUGGAAUAUGGCAAAACGUUUAUUUUCCCCACUAAAUGAGGCUCCUCUAGGGCUGCAACUGUGUUUGCCCAUCUCUCUUUCUCUAGCAGCUAGCACAGGGCUAGCAGUCGGUGCUUGUUGAGCCGGUGGGUGAAGAGAGCACACCUCCUGUGUGCCGGGCAUGGCGGGACCUGGUGCCGGCAAGUGGUGGGCUCUCUGGCCCCAUGCUCUGCGCUGGUGAUGUCAAGGGGUGGGCUUUUGUCCUGCCACUGAUAGUAGGAGGGAAGGCCGGCAGGAAACGCCGAAACCCACUCAAGCUGCUGGAGAAGGGGGAAUCCAGCCCUGUUUCAGGGGAAGGAGUAUCCUGUGUUCUGAGAGCGAGAGAGCAGCUUAGCCGGCAAAUCCUUAAAUCCUUCAGAGAUUACAGGAUUGUGCAAGAGGGAAGGCCAAGAGGGGGACCUCUGAGGCAGCUCCAGCAUGGCCUGUUGUGUGCAGAGGACUGAGAUCCCAGAACAUGCCACACCAAGAAGACAUGUCCCAAAGGGCAGUGGAGCCACAGCCACCAGAAGGGACCUGGCCCUGUCGGACCUGCUGAAGCUAGCCGUGGAGUGCAGGGGCUUUGUUGGUCUGGCUGCUAACCAAAGGGUGGCUAAUGGGACCCUUUCCAGGGGCCUCUAGGGGAUUUCAGUGGGGGCUUGCUUCGAGGCUCUAUUACCACUGGACUGUUUACCAAGAGCCUCAGCCUGACAGAGAUGGGAAGAGACGAGUGAGCAUUUCUGACCCAACACCCCCACCGCAGAGUUGGGGAAACAUUUACCCAAGAUAGGAGGAAUCAAAAGGAAAAAAAUUGAAUUUAUUUCAAAAAAACAUACCAAGGUGGACAAGAUAGGAAACAAUACAAUUUAUAUUACAGUUUUAUUAUUAUUUAAAAAUUUUAUAUGAACAAAAUGAGAUGGGAUCUGCCUAUGUUGCCCAGGCUGGUCUUCAACUCCUGGGCUCAAUCUCCUCGGCCUCCGAAAGUGCGAUUACAGGCGUGAGCCAUCGCACCCGGCCCAUAUUACAGUUUCAUAGUGUUUUUGAUU